rnacentral:rRNA from 1 species
GACGAACGCUGGCGGCGUGCUUAAAACAUGCAAGGAGAAAGGAAAGGAACUGCUUUUGGGGGGGGAGAGAGUGGUGAACGGGUGAGUAAAAAGUGAGUAAAAGGUAUGGGAUUUUGGGAUAACUUCAGGAAAGUGGGGAUAAGACUGGAUAGGAGCUUCUGCUGUCUGGUGGGGGUUGGAAAGUUUCGGCGGUUGGGGAUGGACUCGCGGCUUAUCCGCUUGUUGGUGGGGUAGUGGCUUACCAAGGCUUUAACGAGGAGCCGGCCUGAGAGGGUGACCGGCCACAUUGGGACUGAGAUACGGCCCAGACUCCUACGGGAGGCAGCAGUGGGGAAUAUUGCACAAUGGGCGAAAGCCUGAUGCAGCAACGCCGCGUUCCAUAUCCCCUCCUUCAUUUUGUAAACCGCUUUCGCCUGUAACGAAGCGUGAGUGACAGUAAUGGGUAAAGAAGCACCAGCUAACUACGUG